UUGAGGUGGAGAGGGCAUUGUUUGAAAGGUGUUCUCAGUUUAAGGAAACUCUUGAAGUUUAUAAUAAAGAAUUAGAAAGCUUCAAAAAGCGAGGAGAUAUUGUGACAGCAGAAGAAUUGAGGAAGAAUACUGAGAAGUUGGAAAAGUUAAAUAAGAAUAUAGCUGAUGCUCUAGCAGAAUUUGAGGGUAUUAAUUAUGAAGAAGAUUUGCUUGGGCAGGAGAAGAGUCAAUUUCCUCUCUUGCAAUCUAUAAUUAC
rnacentral:lncRNA from 1 species